ensembl:rRNA 5S_rRNA 5S ribosomal RNA
CACAGCUAACCACCCUGAAUGUGCCUCAUCUCGUAUGCUCGUAGAAGCUAAGCAAGGCUGGGCCUGGUUAGUAUUUGGAUGGGAGGAAUUGUCCCUGGCACAGCCUGAUUAAAAACUGGUAAUACUGUGA